CGUACACUCCUGCGGGAGGCAGCAGUGGGGAAUAUUGCACAAUGGGCGCAAGCCUGAUGCAGCCAUGCCGCGUGUAUGAAGAAGGCCUUCGGGUUGUAAAGUACUUUCAGCGGGGAGGAAGGCGAUAAGGUUAAUAACCUUGUCGAUUGACGUUACCCGCAGAAGAAGCACCGGCUAACUCCGUGCCAGCAGCCGCGGUAAUACGGAGGGUGCAAGCGUUAAUCGGAAUUACUGGGCGUAAAGCGCACGCAGGCGGUCUGUCAAGUCGGAUGUGAAAUCCCCAGGCUCAACCUGGGAACUGCAUUCGAAACUGGCAGGCUAGAGUCUUGUAGAGGGGGGUAGAAUUCCAGGUGUAGCGGUGAAAUGCGUAGAGAUCUGGAGGAAUACCGGUGGCGAAGGCGGCCCCCUGGACAAAGACUGACGCUCAGGUGCGAAAGCGUGGGGAGCAAACAGGAUUAGAAACCCCAGUAGUCCC
rnacentral:rRNA from 1 species